rnacentral:misc_RNA from 1 species
GCUUUGUAACAGAAAUCAUAUUAAAGACUCAGUAGCAAGCCUAAUCCU